ensembl:lncRNA
GACUUGGCUUUCACCUCAGGAACUCUUCGAAACAGUUGUUUUGAAGGCAAUCUGCUAAGAUGGUUUGUGAAGCGCCGUUUUCUCUGCCCAUCUUGAGGGGGGACGGCUCCUUCCGCCACUUGGUCAAAUUACGGAGUGGGGCUGCUGUCCUUUGACAUGACUCUGUCCCCCCGGCCUCAGUGACUGUUGAGCAAUGCGUACAAUUAAAGUCAAAACCCUGGAUUUUCCCUCUCCAGCAUCCACAGGCUGCAGAGAGUGGAGCCUGGGUCUCUCUGUGCCUAAAUGAUUCGGUGGAGUGAGUGUCACUGUCCAAGGGAGAGAAAGUGAAGCCUGGAGUACCAAGCAUCUGUGCUGCUGGCUGGAUACUCAACCAAACACUGAAUCAGGGCACUGGGCCUUUAAGACAGAAGAAAACACAUUCUGGCGGGGUGGAGCCUGGCCCAAUUAUCCAGGUGCCGGGAUGUUGCUGGGGCCUGCCUUUGUUAGGAUCAGGUCUUGGUGGUUCUGGUUUGCAGUUCUGGCAGCACCAGCCCCGCUUCCCUACUUCCCGCCACACAAGGAAGGUUUGGCAGCGCCUGUGCUGGGGGAGCAGCCGAAAGUAAGGAAGAAGGCUGACCUUUGGGGGUGAAGGUGAGGUCACCCAGUCUGUUGACUGAGCAAGUGUUUCGAAUCCUGUGUAUGUGUGUGUGUGUGUGUGUGUCUGUCCUGAGCUAGAAUUGGUGGCUCUGAAAAGAGGGUCCAGGCUUCCCAUGCCUCCAACCCCCACCUGGUAUUCCAGCUGCACACAGUAAGUCCUUGAUAAUAACGGGCAAAGAUUAAGAAAGGGAGUGUAUUAGCAGGAGAACUGGCCAGAGACUUGGGUUCUAGCUCCGACUUCACCUGAAGCUUUUUCAAAGCUCCUUAACUUCCCCAGCUUAUCCACUUUCUAUAAAAGAAGUCAAUAAUUCCACCCUCACCUCCUCUGGCUACUGUGAAACCGAUGAGAUAAUUGAGCAGACAUUUUCUUCCAAGGACCAAAGAAUAGAACCAGCUGGGCAGAAGUCAUAAGGGGGCAGAUUUUAGGUCAAAAUCAGGAAGAAAUUUCUAUUAACCAAAGUGCCCUCUAGAGGUCCCCUAAUUGAACAAAGAAACUUCUGUUCUGGGAACUGCUCAAGCCAGACAGAUGGAUCCGCUGACGGAUGUCCUGCAAGAGGGGGGCUGACCCCUGGGCUGUAAGGUCCCUUUGAAAUGUGAGUGGCUCCAUUUUGGUGGAUGUAGAA